AAGUGGCUGGGCUUGAUAUCACCCCUCUCGUCAAUUGGCUCUCCAAUGACAUUCAUGAUACGUCCAAGGGUGGCCCUACCCACUGGCACUGUAAUGGGAGACCCAGUAUUGAGGACGCGCUGCCCUCUCACCAAACCUUCAGUCCCAUCCAUGGCAAUGGUCCUAACCAUACCCUCACCCAUGUGCUGAGCCACCUCCAGCACUAGCCUGAUCGAAUGGUCCAAAACCUCAAGAGACGUCAAAAUCGGAGGCAGUCCCUCAUCGAACCUCACAUCCACAACGGCACCAAUCACCUG
rnacentral:misc_RNA from 1 species